rnacentral:rRNA from 1 species
AUUGAACGCUGGCGGCAUGCCUUACACAUGCAAGUCGAACGGUAACAGGUCUUCGGAUGCCGACGAGUGGCGAACGGGUGAGUAAUACAUCGGAACGUGCCUAGUAGUGGGGGAUAACUACUCGAAAGAGUGGCUAAUACCGCAUGAGAUCUACGGAUGAAAGCAGGGGAUCGCAAGACCCUGUGCUACUAGAGCGGCCGAUGGCAGAUUAGGUAGUUGGUGGGAUAAAAGCUUACCAAGCCGACGAUCUGUAGCUGGUCUGAGAGGACGAUCAGCCACACUGGGAAUGGAACACGGCCCAGACUCCUACGGGAGGCAGCAGUGGGGAAUUUUGGACAAUGGGCGCAAGCCUGAUCCAGCAAUGCCGCGUGCAGGAUGAAGGCCUUCGGGUUGUAAACUGCUUUUGUACGGAACGAAAAGCCCUGGGUUAAUACCCUGGGAUCAUGACGGUACCGUAAGAAUAAGCACCGGCUAACUACGUGCCAGCAGCCGCCGUAAGAC